rnacentral:rRNA from 1 species
UGGGGAAUUUUGCACAAUGGGGGAAACCCUGAUGCAGCGACGCCGCGUGAUUUAGAAGGCCUUCGGGUUGUAAAAAUCUUUUCUAUGGGAAGAAAAUGACAGUACCAUAGGAAUAAGGACCGGCUAAUUACGUGCCAGCAGCCGCGGUAAUACGUAAGGUCCGAGCGUUGUCCGGAAUCAUUGGGCGUAAAGGGUACGUAGGCGGAUAAGUAAGUUAGAAGUGAAAUCCUAUAGCUCAACUAUAGUAAGCUUUUAAAACUGCUCAUCUUGAGGUAUGGAAGGGAAAGUGGAAUUCCUAGUGUAGCGGUGAAAUGCGCAGAUAUUAGGAGGAAUACCGGUGGCGAAGGCGACUUUCUGGCCAUAUACUGACGCUGAGGUACGAAAGCGUGGGUAGCAAACAGG